GGGCGCAUGGUUUAGUGGUAUAAUUUUCCCUUAGCAUUAAACUUGCACUACAAGUGCGAAGCUCAAGUGGGAAAGGUCCUGGGUUCGAUUCCCAGUGCGUCCA